rnacentral:rRNA from 1 species
AUUGAACGCUGGCGGCAGGCCUAACACAUGCAAGUCGAGCGGAUGAAGGGAGCUUACUCCUGGAUUCAGCGGCGGACGGGUGAGUAAUGCCUAGGAAUCUGCCUGUUAGUGGGGGAUAACGUCCGGAAACGGGCGCUAAUACCGCAUACGUCCUGAGGGAGAAAGUGGGGGAUCUUCGGACCUCACGCUAUCAGAUGAGCCUAGGUCGGAUUAGCUAGUUGGUGGGGUAAAGGCCUACCAAGGCGACGAUCCGUAACUGGUCUGAGAGGAUGAUCAGUCACACUGGAACUGAGACACGGUCCAGACUCCUACGGGAGGCAGCAGUGGGGAAUAUUGGACAAUGGGCGAAAGCCUGAUCCAGCCAUGCCGCGUGUGUGAAGAAGGUCUUCGGAUUGUAAAGCACUUUAAGUUGGGAGGAAGGGCAGUAAGUUAAUACCUUGUUGUUUUGACGUUACCAACAGAAUAAGCACCGGCUAACUUCGUG